rnacentral:rRNA from 1 species
ACGUAGGGGGCGAGCGUUGUCCGGAAUCACUGGGCGUAAAGGGCGCGUAGGCGGCGUUUUAAGUCGCAUGUGAAAUCCCCGGGCUUAACCCGGGAUGUGCAUGCGAAACUGAAAUGCUCGAGUGCGGUAGAGGAAAGUGGAAUUCCUAGUGUAGCGGUGGAAUGCGUAGAUAUUAGGAGGAACACCAGUGGCGAAGGCGACUUUCUGGGCCGCAACUGACGCUGAAGCGCGAAAGCGUGGGGAGCAAACAG